rnacentral:rRNA from 1 species
UGAGUUUGAUCCUGGCUCAGGACGAACGCUGGCGGCGUGCUUAACACAUGCAAGUCACGGGGGGUCGCAAGACCAACCGGCGAACGGGUGCGUAACACGUGAGCAACCUACCGAUUUGUGGGGGAUAGCUGUCCUAACGGGCAGGUAAUACCGCAUACGCUCUUUGGGUCACCUGACCCGAUGAGGAAACCUCCGGGGCAAAUCGCGGGGCUCGCGGCUUAUCAGCUAGUUGGCGAGGUAAUGGCUCACCAAGGCGACGACGAGUAGCUGGUCUGAGAGGAUGGCCAGCCACAUUGGGACUGAGAAACGGCCCAGACUCCUACGGGAGGCAGCAGUGGGGAAUCUUGCGCAAUGGGCGAAAGCCUGACGCAGCGACGCCGCGUGGGGGAUGACGGGUUUCGGCUUGUAAACCCCUGUUGCCCGGGACGAACUUCUCCAUUCGUGGAGAUUGACGGUACCGGGUGAGGAAGCACCGGCUAACUCUGUGCCAGCAGCCGCGGUAAUACAGAGGGUGCGAGCGUUGUCCGGAAUCACUGGGCGUAAAGGGCGCGUAGGUGGCGUCGCAAGUCGAUGGUGAAAGCUCGGCGCUCAACGCCGAGUCGGCCCUUGAUACUGCGAGGCUGGAUCACCUCCUUUCUA